UUUAUUAAUUUUAUUUCUCUGAUGAUAACAAUACAUCUUAUGAUAGAUUUAAAAGAGACUGUUCUGUACGUACUCAAAAUGUUUUUGCUAUCAUUGCAUCCACGUGAACAAUAUUUAUUGGGUACGAAAAAUAAUGUUCGGUCUCAAUAGAAAUAGUUAUAAGCAGCUAAUAGCAAAUUAUUUGUUGUCGUGUAGAUACAAUUUAACCCAAGAAGAAAAAAGGAUAUGGAUUAACUGAUGGGGAAGGAGUGGAAAGACUAUGGAUCUUCAUUAGCUGCUAAACUUAAAAGAUGUCCUGAACUUAUUACUAACACGCAAUCACAAAUACAAGACUUAUUUUCGAAGCUAGAUGUUCUGUAUGACUCUGAUUUAUUAGAGACAUGGAUGAAGGAAGAAGAAAAACUAAUUAAUGAGAAGAAUUCAAAACGGGCACUUCCGUUAACAUGGCAACAAAAA